GUUGAACGCUGGCGGCAGGCCUAACACAUGCAAGUCGAACGAGUGGCGGACGGGUGAGUAAUGUCUGGGAAACUGCCUGAUGGAGGGGGAUAACUACUGGAAACGGUAGCUAAUACCGCAUACCAUCAGAUGUGCCCAGCUGGGAUUAGCUUGUUGGUGGGGUAACGGCUAACCAAGGCGACGAUCCCUAGCUGGUCUGAGAGGAUGACCAGCCAAACUGGAACAGAAACACGGUCCAGACUCCUACGGGAGGAAGCAGUGGGGAAUAUUGCACAAGGGGAGAAAGCCGGAUGCAGCCAUGCCGGGUGUAUGAAGAAGGCUUUCGGGUUGUAAAGUACUUUCAGCGGGGAGGCGUUACCCGCAGAAGAAGCACCGGCGAACUCCGUGCCAGCAGCCGCGGUAAUUC
rnacentral:rRNA from 1 species